UCGAAUAAGGAACGCUGCAACAGGUCAUUCACCUGCUAGGCUUAUUCAAUACUUAAUUAUUUAAACUGCGUUCAUUAUUA
rnacentral:ncRNA from 2 species